AACGAACGCUGGCGGCAUGCCUAACACAUGCAAGUCGAACGAGACCUUCGGGUCUAGUGGCGCACGGGUGCGUAACGCGUGGGAACCUGCCCUUAGGUUCGGAAUAACUCCCCGAAAGGGGUGCUAAUACCGGAUAAUGUCUUCGGACCAAAGAUUUAUCGCCUUUGGAUGGGCCCGCGUUGGAUUAGCUAGUUGGUAGGGUAAAAGCCUACCAAGGCGACGAUCCAUAGCUAGUCUGAGAGGAUGAUCAACCACACUGGGACUGAGACACGGCCCAGACUCCUACGGGAGGCAGCAGUGGGGAAUAUUGGACAAUGGGCGAAAGCCUGAUCCAGCAAUGCCGCGUGAGUGAUGAAGGCCUUAGGGUUGUAAAGCUCUUUUACCCGGGAUGAUAAUGACAGUACCGGGAGAAUAAGCGCCGGCUAACUCCGUG
rnacentral:rRNA from 1 species